GUAUAAGAGAGCGGGAGGGGGCGUGGCUUGCCAGUAUUCCAGUGGGCAGUAGCCGGGGAGGGCGGGUGUUGGUUGGUUGUAUGCGCGCGGGAGGCCGAGUGCGUGAGGACGUUUGGCGCGUGGCUGAGGCGUGUGUGUUGAGGGAGCGUGAGAGAGAGAGUGAGUGAGUCCCCGCGCUGCGGCCCUUGCUUUUCUGAUACACUUUGAUCUUAUUUGAUCGGGCGCCGGUGGUGCCGCCGCUUUCCGGCCCCGAAAUGAGAAUAACCCCCUUCCUGCGAAGCCCUUCCUCGGGCGCUGUGCAGCGAAGCAGGUCAACCGAGCCGGCGGCCGUUUUAGUCGGAAAUGAUGAAUUGAUCAGAUAGAUGAGGCUGGAGGCUGGGGUCACCCCCUCCUCUCUGCCAAUGUGUAUCGAGGCGAUUCUGAUCCGG